AUUGCUUCUCAGUCUUUUGGCUAAGAUCAAGUGUAGAAUCUGUUCUUAUCAGAUUUACUUCCCUAUGAAAAUCUUUAAGAGGCAAUGUGGUGCAACUCAC
ensembl:snRNA U2 U2 spliceosomal RNA